rnacentral:rRNA from 1 species
UACGUAGGGGGGCAAGCGUUUGUCCGGAUUUAUUGGGCGUAAAGCGCGUGUAGGCGGCCAGAUAGGUCUGCUGUGAAAACUCGAGGCUCAACCUCGAGCUGUCGGCGGAAACCAUCUGGCUAGAGUCCGGAAAAGGAGAGUGGAAUUCCUGGUGUAGCGGUGAAAUGCGCAGAUAUCAGGAAGAACACCUAUGGCGAAGGCAGCUCUCUGGGACGGUACUGACGCUGAGGUGCGAAAAGCGUGGGGAGCAAACAGG